GGACGCGAUCAUACCACCACUAAAUCAUCGGAUCCCAUCAAAACUCCGAAGUUANGCGUGCUUGGCCGAGAGUAGUACUAGCGUACGUGACCUCCUGGGAAGUCCUCGUGUUGCAUUCC
rnacentral:rRNA from 1 species